CGCAGGCCGAUGAUCCCAGGGCGGGUUGGCGUCAGCCGCUGGCAUCAAACCGCUUCGCGGAAACUAGCGAAGAAACGGGGAGCGCGCAGCCUGCAAAGUGGUGCCAGGGCGAAACCAUGCGCUGCGCGAAGGCUGCGCGGCUCCCGGCCCCCGCUCUCCGCCUCGCAGGUCCGUGAACUUCACUACAUCGAAGAGCCCCGAAAUAAAGCAGAGACCUGACCCCUACUGGCGAUUUUAUGAAACAGAUGUUUCCUAGAGACAGAUGAAGAACAAGGAGCAAAACAACAUGACUUAACGCACACUAAGGGAGGGGAUAACCAGGAGCACUGUCUGCACGGUACAGCUCUGAAGGCAUAGGCUGA